rnacentral:misc_RNA from 1 species
GAUGAAGAACGUAGCGAAAUGCGAUAAGUAGUGUGAAUUGCAGAAUUCAGUGAAUCAUCGAAUCUUUGAACGCACAUUGCGCCUCCUGGCAUUCCGGGAGGCAUGCCUGUUCGAGCGUCAUUAAAAACCAUCAAGCACUCUUUGCUUGGACUUGGUAGAUGAGUGCCUACGGUCCUCACUGCCGAAAUUGAAUGGCGGAUAGCCUUGGGGUGCCCCAGCGUAGUAAGUCUUCUUUCGCUUGGAACCCAAAGACGGUCCUGCCCUCAACCCCCACAUCCUAUGGUUGACCUCGGAUCAGGUAGGGAUACCCGCUGAACUUAAGCAUAUCAAUAAGCCGGAGGA